rnacentral:rRNA from 1 species
GACGAACGCUGGCGGCGUGCUUAACACAUGCAAGUCGAACGCUGAAGCCCAGCUUUUGUUGGGUGGAUGAGUGGCGAACGGGUGAGUAACACGUGAGUAACCUGCCCCCUUCUUUGGGAUAACGCCCGGAAACGGGUGCUAAUACUGGAUAUUCACUGGUCUUCGCGUGGGGGUUGGUGGAAGGGGUUUUUCUGGUGGGGGAUGGGCCCGCGGCCUAUCAGCUUGUUGGUGGGGUGAUGGCCUACCAAGGCUUUGACGGGUAGCCGGCCUGGGAGGGUGACUGGUCACAUAGGGAGUGAGAUACGGCCGGGACUGAUACGGGAGGCGGAAGUGGGGAAUAGUGCGCAAUGGGGGAAAGCGUGCUGCAGGGGCGCGGCGUGAGGGAUGGAGGCGUGCGGGUUGUGAACCUCUUUCGCUCAUGGUCAAGCCGCAACAAUGGUUGUGGUGAGGGUAGUGGGUAAAGAAGCGCCGGCUAACUACGUG